AAUCGAAAACAAAUGAUUUUGAAAAGAAAAUUUGGGGAAAACGAAACAUACGAGCAUAAUAUAGAAAAUUUGGGGAAAACAUAUGUGUGGUAGAGAACAAAACAUACGAGCAUAAUAUAGAAAAAACACAUAAAGAAAGAACAGGAAGAGUCAAAAAGAUGUUUUGAAAACCUUUUUAGAAAUCCUAAAUCGAAAACAAAUGAUUUCGAAAAGAAAAUUUGGGGAAAACACUUUACAUACCAGUGGAAUACAAAUACAUCGUAGAUCUAAGAAUACAAAAAAGAGAAAAACCUUGAAUACCUUAGGGUUUCAGACAUGAAAAAGGCUGGAAAGAAAGUCUGAUCCUAAGCCAGAUGAGUGAGGAUCAAGCUCUUGAGGCUUGAAUAUACCGGAGCAAAGGUCGGAUAAGCCAUAGAACCAAAGAUCUGAGAAAAUCUGAAAGAGAAUUGUCGAGGUCAAGCUUCAGAACCUUGCAUUCCCGAGGUUUAAUGGCAGAGAGGGGUGAGUACAGACCAUCCAUAGACCGAGAAGCCAUGGAUUCCGGUGAAAGUAUGGUGGAAAAAGGGUCAGAGAUGAUUAAGGUUCGAAGAACCUUUGAGAGAGUUGGAGAGACAAUGUGAUUC
rnacentral:lncRNA from 1 species